GGGCCAGUAGUGCAAUGGAUAACGCGUCUGACUACGGAUCAAGAGAUUUCAGGUUUGACUCCUGGCUGGCUUG
rfam:Scleropages formosus scaffold41603, whole genome shotgun sequence.